AGAAAGUUUUAUUCUUGCUUAAUUGUUUACUUUUUAUAUGUUUUACAUGUGAAUUUUUGUGAUUAUAGAUUUAUGAGCUUAGAUAGUAUAUAUAUAUAUACUUGCAGUAUUUAAUAUUAUUUAUCAAGGUGACUUGGAAUUAGUAAUAUAAUAUGUAGCCGGCAAAAGUCGUGCCAGCCGCCGCGGUUAUACGUAGGGUUAAAGUGAACAUUAUUAGUGUAGGAGUUAGUAUAUUUUUAAUAGACUUGAAUGUAAAUUUUUAAGGUAGAAUUUUGAAUUUAUUUGGAGUUUAGAAUUAGUAUACGAAGCUUUGAAAAUUGGGCUAUAAACUAGGAUUAGAUACCCUAUUAUUCCAAUUGUAAAUAUCAUUACUUGAGUAGUAAUAGUUAUGUUCUUGAAACUCAAAGAAUUUGGCGGUGUUUUAGUCUUUUCAGAGGAAUCUGUCCUGUAAUCGAUAGUACACGUUAUAAUCGACUUGAUUUUGUUAUCAGUUUGUAUACCGCCGUCGUAAGAUUAUUUUUUAAGAGUGAUAAUUUUCUAUAACUCUUAUUAGAGUAAAUGUCAGGUCAAGGUGCAGCUUAUGAUCAAGUAAGAGAUGGAUUACAAUAAAAAAAUUUAAAUGGAUCUUGCAUUGAAAGGUAGUGCGCUUGAAGGUGGAUUUGAAAGUAAUAUUGUUAUAUUAUGAUAAUAUGAUUUUAGCUCUAAAACAUGUACACAUCGCCCGUCGCUCUCAUUAUAAGGUGAGAUAAGUCGUAACAUAGUAGAUGUACUGGAAAGUGUAUCUAGAAUG
rnacentral:ncRNA from 1 species